UCUUGCUAAGGAAACUGCUCAUUUCUGUUCUUACUACUUUGGGGACGAUGUACCAUGCUUGCGAAAUAGACCCAAUCGACAUUUUGAAGGAGGUGAGAAUGAUGCUUUAGCGAAGCAGAUAUCGAUCUUCAAUCGACCGGGUUCGGGUGCAAAAAAACGUACAAGAGAAUUUAAUGAUAUGGAGUCUAAAUCUGCAUCGAUACAUGUCUUGCUGAAUUGCCCGGAAGUUCAAUGAUAUUAUGAAUACCUCAACGAGGACAUUCUUCGAGCCAUUUCGACAUGUAAGAGAUCUGAGUUUUCCUGGGAAAGCUGUGGGUGUGAAAGUUGGAGGUCUUUGCUCUGUGAAGGCUGCUCGACUAAGGUAAUUCUUUUUCAUGUUGAAGUUUGUAAUUUCAAAGCGUUGGCCACUUUUUUUUUUUGUUGCUUAAACCAUGUAGAUGAGAUCUUUAAUAGGUGGUUGAUAUGAUAAGAUGUUUGCAGUUACUUUUAUCCUAAGGAUUUUGGUGGUCACUAUUUUGUAUUGGAGAUAUUGGUUUCAUAAUAAUAAUUAGAUGUCAAGAUACAAAA